AAGCCAUGAUGGGGGCAUCUUCAAGAAGGUCCUUGAAUCUCUCAUAAGCUUCAAAUAAUGUCUCCGACUCUCCUUGUUUGAAUGCCGAAAAUUUCUUGCCUUAGCUU